rnacentral:rRNA from 1 species
UACAGAGGUCUCAAGCGCUGUUCGGAUUCAUUGGGCGUAAAGGGUGCGUAGGUGGCGUCGUAAGUCAGGUGUGAAAUCUCGGGGCUCAACCCCGAAACUGCACUUGAUACUGCGAUGCUCGAGUACUGGAGAGGAGAUUGGAAUUUACGGUGUAGCAGUGAAAUGCGUAGAUAUCGUAAGGAAGACCAGUGGCGAAGGCGAAUCUCUGGACAGUUACUGACACUGAGGCACGAAGGCCAGGGGAGCAAACGGG